CUAAACCAUGCACCGAAGCUGCGGCAGCGACACUGUGUGUUGUUGGGUAGGGGAGCGUUCUGUAAGCCUGUGAAGGUGUGUCGUGAGGCAUGCUGGAGGUAUCAGAAGUGCGAAUGCUGACAUAAGUAACGAUAAAGCGGGUGAAAAGCCCGCUCGCCGGAAGACCAAGGGUUCCUGUCCAACGUUAAUCGGGGCAGGGUGAGUCGACCCCUAAGGCGAGGCCGAAAGGCGUAGUCGAUGGGAAACGGGUUAAUAUUCCCGUACUUGGUGUUACUGCGAAGGGGGGACGGAGAAGGCUAUGUUGGCCGGGCGACGGUUGUCCCGGUUUAAGCGUGUAGGUGUGUGUUCCAGGUAAAUCCGGUUCACUUUAACACUGAGGCGUGACGACGAGGCACUACGGUGCUGAAGCAACAAAUGCCCUGCUUCCAGGAAAAGCCUCUAAGCAUCAGGUAACAUCAAAUCGUACCCCAAACCGACACAGGUGGUCAGGUAGAGAAUACCAAGGCGCUUGAGAGAACUCGGGUGAAGGAACUAGGCAAAAUGGUGCCGUAACUUCGGGAGAAGGCACGCUGACACGUAGGUGAAGUGAUUUACUCAUGGAGCUGAAGUCAGUCGAAGAUACCAGCUGGCUGCAACUGUUUAUUAAAAACACAGCACUGUGCAAACACGAAAGUGGACGUAUACGGUGUGACGCCUGCCCGGUGCCGGAAGGUUAAUUGAUGGGGUCAGCGCAAGCGAAGCUCCUGAUCGAAGCCCCGGUAAACGGCGGCCGUAACUAUAACGGUCCUAAGGUAGCGAAAUUCCUUGUCGGGUAAGUUCCGACCUGCACGAAUGGCGUAAUGAUGGCCAGGCUGUCUCCACCCGAGACUCAGUGAAAUUGAACUCGCUGUGAAGAUGCAGUGUACCCGCGGCAAGACGGAAAGACCCCGUGAACCUUUACUAUAGCUUGACACUGAACAUUGAGCCUUGAUGUGUAGGAUAGGUGGGAGGCUUUGAAGUGUGGACGCCAGUCUGCAUGGAGCCGACCUUGAAAUACCACCCUUUAA
rnacentral:rRNA from 1 species